CAAGUCUCUGGGAUCCACCUGUUUCCACAACACUGGACUUACAGACACACUCCAGCGCAUCUGGCUUUCCUGUGGGCUCCAGGAUCUGAACUCGGGUUUUCAUGUUUGGGCAGCAAGCAUGUUACCCACUGAGCUAUCUCUCCAGCCCUGUUUUAGGUAUUUGGUUACUGGCACGGAAAGCUGACUCAUACCAUGAACCGACCAAUGCCUGCUGCACACUGGGCCAAUUAGAACCCUUCCCUGGAAUUUUCAAACUGGAACGACACACACCCUUGGAAACUUCCAGCCUCCUGACCAUCAUUUAGAGGUAAGGAUCCAUGGGAUGGAGACAAAACUGAUCCAGCUGAUGCCUUCUGAAGAGCUCACCAUGAGCAGCCGAGAGCAAGUUCACAGCCCCCAGAGAGGAACACAGACAGCAUCAGGUCAUCAAGCUUUCUCCUGUGAGCAACUUCUUUUUCCAUCGAUAUAGACUGAAAACGACAUCAGUCACUUUGGGCAAACGUGAG